AUGGCAUAUUAGUAGCAAUAUGUAGCGUCUUAUUUUGUGCCUGUGCUUAUAUGGGGUAUUCUGAUGUUCCUAAUGCAAACACUGGGAACAUUAAUGUAGGAGCUACUGUAAGUGUGUGUGUAUGUGUGUGUUGGCAGAGGACAGUGGUGUCAGAUGGAGUAUAAUUAGGAAUCGGUGAACAGACUGUCCUCCCGGUGGGGUUAGUAUGCUAGAUGCUGUUGGGAUUCAGUGUUGUCAGUUUGGCCAAGGCCAGCGACUUCUAAAUAUUGGGUCAAAGACACUUCCUGUGUAUUUCCAUCUAAUCCCCUCACACAGCUGUGCCAAACUCAUCAGCGGUAAUGAGACACACACACACACACACUCACACGCACUUGCACACAAACCUACUGUAAUGAUGGAAAGUUUUUUUUUUAUUUUUUUUAUGUGUAAACCACUACAGAAAUGUGCAGUUGUGCUUUAAAUUGUGUAAAAUAUACUGCAUUGUUUUUGUUGAGGCUUUAAAUAUUUUUAAAUAUCAAACUGCUGAACAAACUGAACUCACAUUUCAAGCUUGAGUCCUCUAUAAGCUUUCAAGUUACUCCCAGAUGACAGUCCUAAAUAACUUUUGUCACAGACAAUUAUAUUUGUGUUUAAUUCCUGGCACAAAAAUACCCAUGCCAGUGUAGCUGAUAUAACCAUGACUGUUCAAUUUGCCAUGGACGUAACUACCUCAUAACAUACCAUUAGAGCACACCAUAAUACAAAGGAGGGAGCUUAGAAUUUGAAGCAGGGAACAGUCUGAGUAUUCCUGAUAAUCCUUUUCUGAUUGAAAUGUCACUGAUAGUGCGAUGAGGCUUGUCACCCUGAAUAACAAAUUCUAUAUUUACUCAGGGCCAGACUAGAGCUCCGCUGCCCAGGGUGCGGAUGUCUCCCUCCAUCAGCUGAAAAAUGAAUCAGCCCCAUUUAGGCAGCACAAUGCAGGUUGAAACGAAGAUACCGGCGCCGUGGGCUCUGCACCUGGUUGACUUGAAAAACAACAGCAACGGAUACAGGAGAGCACUAGGUGAUGGAGACAGACCAUGGAGUAUCCAUUUCCACACACCAUAUGGAAACUCUGUUGUGUGUACAAAGGAGGUGUGCGGUAAUAGUGACCUGAGCCAUAUGUGUUUUAGAGAAUUACAAACAUAACUGAGCUGCGUGGUUCCCUAAUACACAACAUAUGGGGGUCAAUACUGAGAUAGAGGUUUUUACAAACAAACCCUCCUACAUAUGCUUGCACACACACACACACACACACACACACACACACACACACACACACACACACACACACACACACACACACAUACAUACAAAUAGUAGCCAGCUCACACUCCAUCCAUUCAAUGAAUCUCAAGGGAUUGCUCUAAUGAAUUGCUCUAUUGACACACUCCAUGAUUUACUUCAUUAGUGAGGAUGAGCGCUCGCUCACAGUAAGGGGCACAGAGUAAGACUGAGCUUUUUGUUUAGUUUUUUUCUCUUAAAAGUCACUUUAUUACUGAGGCAUGCAAAUACUCACAUUAUCAUGUGGACAUGUACACUCACCAGUCACUUUAAUAGGAACACCUGUACCCCUGCUCAUUCAUGCAAUUGUCCAAUUAUGUAGCAGCUGUACACAUAAAAUCAUGCAGAUACAAGUAAAGUGCUUCAGUUAAUGUUUACCUCAAACAUCAGAAUGGGGGAAAUGUGAUCUCAGUGACUUUGACCUUGGCAUGGUUUUUGGUGUCAAACUAUUUGGUUUGAGUAUUUCAGAAACUGAUGAUCUCCUGGGAUUUUCACACACAACAUUCUCUAAAGUUUCCAUAGAAAGGUAUGAAAAACAAAAACAUCAAGUGAACAAGGAAAUGCCUUGUUGAUGAAAGAGGUCAGUGGAGAAUGGCCAGAACAGGUUCUGUUGACAGGAAGUCUACAGUAACUCAAAUAAACAACUGUGUUGAUCAGAAAAGCAUCUGAGAACACACAACAAUGUUGAAUCUUGAGAACCAAGAACAGGAAUCUGAGGCUACAGUAGGCUCAUAGAAAUUGGACAGUUGAAGAAAAGACCAAGGGACGUUUUCCCAAUUUUCAACUGUCGAUGAGUCUAAUGGUUGAUGUAAAUGUUAACUGAAGCUCUUGCCUUGUAUCUGAAUGAAUUUCUGCCUUGUGCUGCUGCCACAUGACUGGCCAGUGCCAGUGAGUAUACAUAGGACAUACUGUAUAAUCACUUGUAACUUACUAUAUUUAUUAACCAGAAGCCGAAUGAUGUGGGCAUGCUCUUGUCCAACACACAAAUGGAAGUAUUCAUUGUAAACCAACAAAGAUUCAUUAUCAUAAACAAUAAUAAUAAACAAGGUUAUUAUCCUUCAUCCAUACAUCAAGUUGAAGCAACCAGUGAGUUUGUAUGUAAUCGGCUAUACGUUAAACAGAUCUGUGUGUUUCAGCGGGGAGUAAACUGACAGUCAUACUCACUG